rnacentral:misc_RNA from 1 species
AAUAAAGCUAAAGAUUUGCCAUUUAUAAUCAAUAUCAACAGGUUUGGGCCUGGAAGAAGGAUAAAUUGAGUUAUGCAAUGGCUAAAUUAUUCUUAACGGUUUUCAACUGUAGUAGCUUGCUAAUUCCAAAUAAGGUGUAGAUUUCUUUUCAAUUUUCUAAUCAAUGAUCCCUUUGUGAUAAGUAGUUUUAUGCUGCAUCAAUGGAUUCCUUUUUCUCUUUUCCAUCUCCUUUUAAUCUUUUGAACACUGGAGAACAUAUUCCAUCACUUUGCGUAACCUGAAGAGAAUUUUCUUUCCUAAUCAGCCCCGCCUGAUCCUAUUCUUGUUUGGCCUAGCUAUACAGAUGCUUAGAGCUAACUUUAGUAUCAAGGAGCUAAAGACUUACAGAAAUUAAU